UGGGGCGUCGCCAAGCGGUAAGGCAGCGGCUUUUGAUGCCGCCAUACGCAGGUUCGAAUCCUGCCGCCCCAGCCA
rnacentral:tRNA from 1 species